rnacentral:tRNA from 1 species
AGUAAGUUUUAAAUUGAUUUGCACUCAAUUAAUAUGUAUAUCAUACUUGAAU